UACGUAGGGGGCUAGCGUUGUCCGGAAUUAUUGGGCGUAAAGAGCUCGUAGGCGGUUUGUCGCGUCUGCUGUGAAAACUCGGGGCUUAACCCCGGGCCUGCAGUGGGUACGGGCAGACUAGAGUGCGGUAGGGGAGACUGGAAUUCCUGGUGUAGCGGUGAAAUGCGCAGAUAUCAGGAGGAACACCGGUGGCGAAGGCGGGUCUCUGGGCCGUAACUGACGCUGAGGAGCGAAAGCGUGGGGAGCGAACAGG
rnacentral:rRNA from 1 species